rnacentral:rRNA from 1 species
UACGUAGGCAGCGAGCGUUGUUCGGAGUUACUGGGCGUAAAGGGUGUGUAGGCGGUUUUUUAAGGUUGGUGUGAAAUCUCCCGGCUCAACCGGGAGGGUGCGCCGAAUACUGAGGGACUAGAGUGCGGGAGAGGAAAGUGGAAUUCCUGGUGUAGCGGUGAAAUGCGUAGAUAUCAGGAGGAACACCGGUGGUGUAGACGGCUUUCUGGACCGUAACUGACGCUGAGACACGAAAGCGUGGGUAGCAAACAGG